GAUGAACGCUGGCGGCGUGCCUAAUACAUGCAAGUCGAGCGAACAGACGAGGAGCUUGCUCCUCUGACGUUAGCGGCGGACGGGUGAGUAACACGUGGAUAACCUACCUAUAAGACUGGGAUAACUUCGGGAAACCGGAGCUAAUACCGGAUAAUAUAUUGAACCGCAUGGUUCAAUAGUGAAAUACGGUUUUGCUGUCACUUAUAGAUGGAUCCGCGCCGCAUUAGCUAGUUGGUAAGGUAACGGCUUACCAAGGCAACGAUGCGUAGCCGACCUGAGAGGGGGAUCGGCCAAACGGGAACUGAGACACGGACCAGACACCUACGGGAGGCAGCAGUAGGGAAUCUUCCGCAAUGGGCGAAAGCAUGACGGAGCAACGCCGCGUGAGUGAUGAAGGUCUUCGGAUCGUAAAACUCUGUUAUUAGGGAAGAACAAAUGUGUAAGUAACUAUGCACGUCUUGACGGUACCUAAUCAGGAAGCCACGGCUAACUACGUG
rnacentral:rRNA from 1 species